rnacentral:rRNA from 1 species
GACGAACGCUGGCGGCGUGCCUAAUACAUGCAAGUAGAACGCACAGUUUAUACCGUAGCUUGCUACACCAUAGACUGUGAGUUGCGAACGGGUGAGUAACGCGUAGGUAACCUGCCUGGUAGCGGGGGAUAACUAUUGGAAACGAUAGCUAAUACCGCAUAAUAUUAAUUAUUGCAUGAUAAUUAAUUGAAAGGUGCAAUUGCACCACUACCAGAUGGACCUGCGUUGUAUUAGCUAGUAGGUGAGGUAACGGCUCACCUAGGCGACGAUACAUAGCCGACCUGAGAGGGUGAUCGGCCACACUGGGACUGAGACACGGCCCAGACUCCUACGGGAGGCAGCAGUAGGGAAUCUUCGGCAAUGGACGAAGGUCUGACCGAGCAGCGCCGCGUGAGUGAAGAAGGUUUUCGGAUCGUAAAGCUCUGUUGUAAGAGAAGAACGGGUGUGAGAGUGGAAAGUUCACACUGUGACGGUAUCUUACCAGAAAGGGACGGCUAACUACGU